rnacentral:lncRNA from 1 species
UUACCUCCCAAGGCAAAGAAAAAGCUAAACAAUCUCACUCUGAUGGAAGCCAGCUGCUAUGCUGUGUGUUGCUCUAUGGAGAGACUCAGGUAGAAGGAAUUGAAGGAGGCUUUCGGCCAACAGUCAGCAAGGUACUGAGGCUUUCAGUCCAAGAGCCUAUAAGGAACUGAAUCCUACCAGCAACCAAGCAAGUGGCUUGAAAAUGGACCCUCUCUCAGCUGAGUCUUUGAAUAAGAUCACAGCUCUUAUUCAAUAUGACACCUUGAUUGUAGUCUUGUUAGAGAUCUUGAGCCAGUGGCACCCAGCUAAGCUGUACCUGUAUUCCUGACCCAUAAAACCCCACAGAUAAUAAAUGUUUGUCAU